rnacentral:tRNA from 1 species
GCUCUGGUGGCACAAAUGGUUAAGUGCUGGCUGCUAACCUAAAGGUUGGUGGUUCAAAUCCAUCCAGUGGCU